UACGUAGGGUGCAAGCGUUAAUCGGAAUUACUGGGCGUAAAGCGUGCGCAGGCGGUUCGUUGUGUCGGUGGUGAAAUCCCCGGGCUUAACCUGGGAAUGGCCAUGGAAACUGGCGAACUGGAGUGUGGCAGAGGGGGGUGGAAUUCCACGUGUAGCAGUGAAAUGCGUAGAGAUGUGGAGGAACACCGAUGGCGAAGGCAGCCCCCUGGGUUAACACUGACGCUCAGGCACGAAAGCGUGGGGAGCAAACAGG
rnacentral:rRNA from 1 species